GACGAACGCUGGCGGCGUGCCUAAUACAUGCAAGUCGAACGCAGUGGGGACGGGUGAGUAACACGUGGGUAACCUCCCAUCAGACGGGAUAACACUUGGAAACAGGUGCUAAACCGAUACUGAUGGAUGGACCCGCGGUGCAUUAGCUAGUUGGUGGGGUAACGGCUCACCAAGGCCACGAUGCAUAGCCGGCCUGAGAGGGUGAUCGGCCACACUGGGACUGAGACACGGCCAAAACUCCUACGGGAGGCAGCAGUAGGGAAUAUUCGGCAAUGGACGAAAGCCUGACCGAGCAACGACGCGUGUGUGAAGAAGGUUUACGGAUCGAAAAACACUGUUGUUAGGGAAGCGGUAACUAACGAGAAAGACACGGCUAACUCCGUGCCAGCCGCCGCGGUAAUAC
rnacentral:rRNA from 1 species